rnacentral:rRNA from 1 species
GAUGAACACUGGCGGCGUGCCUAAUACAUGCAAGUCGAGCGAACGGACGAGAAGCUUGCUUCUCUGAUGUUAGCGGCGGACGGGUGAGUAACACGUGGAUAACCUACCUAUAAGACUGGGAUAACUUCGGGAAACCGGAGCUAAUACCGGAUAAUAUUUUGAACCGCAUGGUUCAAAAGUGAAAGACGGUCUUGCUGUCACUUAUAGAUGGAUCCGCGCUGCAUUAGCUAGUUGGUAAGGUAACGGCUUACCAAGGCAACGAUGCAUAGCCGACCUGAGAGAGUGAUCGGCCACACUGGAACUGAGACACGGUCCAGACUCCUACGGGAGGCAGCAGUAGGGAAUCUUCCGCAAUGGGCGAAAGCCUGACGGAGCAACGCCGCGUGAGUGAUGAAGGUCUUCGGAUCGUAAAACUCUGUUAUUAGGGAAGAACAUAUGUGUAAGUAACUGUGCACAUCUUGACGGUACCUAAUCAGAAAGCCACGGCUAACUACGUG